UUUCUCAUGACACACAAGCUUCAUAUGUUGACAAAAAUUGACAGAAAUAUACACAUUUCAACAAAUCAAGAUGUUUUAGUUGAUACAAAGUGACACGAAGCUAAAAUGAUUUACCAACCCUACAUUUAAAACCAAAGAAGGAUUUUGUCCGCGUAUAGCAGCACAAUCAGAUGAUGAUUCAUAUGCUUUUGUUAAGCUGAUACAACUAAAGCUUAACACGAGACAGCUAGUCAUAUCCAUAAAAACGUGGUGAUUGUAGUACUGUCAAUCCUUUUAUAGCAUAUAUAUAAGCCACAUGUUGCUCGGAUGGCCAUAAACAUGACAGACAUUAUACGAUUUGAUGAUCAAAGGAAAACCUCAAAAGCAUAGUUACAUGAUGAGUGAGCGAAAAAGAAACAGAACUAUCGUGAGAAUACAUCUCAAUAGGUCACAGAAUGGUGAUGACUAAUAUGGCUUAGUUCAACUUCAACCAGGAGGCCACUUCAUUUGUCUACCACCCAGGACAUGUAGGUGAAGAUGAUAAACAGAUUGACCUGCAGUUGGUCCACUGUUGAUGACAACACGAAAUCCAUCAAGAAUGCCUUCUUUUUCAGCCA